GUUUCUUACAUUGAUAGGUUUUUGUUAGUUAAUUCUCUGACUAAAUCAAGACUUCAGUUGUUGAGUGUUUCCUCCAUGCUCAUUUCAUCAUAAGGCUGAUAUCCUGUUUUCACAAGUUGUUCAAUAUUUGUUCUCUUUAACUUGCUUAAAAAAAAUUACAUUAUGUCUUUUUACACUACAAUAAAAGUAAGUAUUAGUGAAGGCUUAUUACCGACGGCCUUCGUGCCUUCGGUAAUGUAUUGGUAAAAUUGAAUAGCGAGGGGCUUUUGCCCUACGGUAAUGCCUCCGAUGUUUUAAGUUCAAAAUUUGAGUACAUGUUGCUCAAAUUCCCCAAAUUUCCCAAAAGCAGAACUCUUUCCCUUAUUCGUCGAACUCACUCUUGACUUAGGGUUGCAUCUUUGGUGGCAGUCAGCCGGUUCGACGCUGCGGUUUGACGGCACGAGUUUGUUGGUAUGGACGCUGACGGAGGUUCGUUGCUGGGUGGCGCUCUUCCAUUCCCUACCCUCUAUUUGAAGCGGUUCGUUGGUUUGAAGCUUGAGGCUGUCGCCCUAAGGCAGUUUGAAGCGGUUGCUGUUGUGGACGCUGACGGCGAUUCGUUGGUGGCUGGUUUGCGGCUAGGGUUUGUGUUUUGGUCCUUGUGAGUGUUGCGAUAGUGGUGGGGGUUGUUGGGGGUUGGCGUGUUGAGGGCUUUGCAGUGAAGUGGUGUUGGUUUGGCGACUUGGUUUGGGAUUGGGUCGUGGAUGUGUUGUCGGAGAUGUCAAGGCGGAGAAGGAGGUGGAGGGAGGAUAUCUGCUGCGAAAUCUCGCCAAAGAAGUCAUUGUGGGAGAGAUAGAGGAGUUCGAGCGGUUUUCGUGGAGGUCGAGGAAGCGGAGGUACACUAGUGGGGAGAGAUAAUCAAUUGGACCACAGAGGUUGAGGGAAGGGAGGAAGAGGCCCACCACUCUGCCGUUUGGGUUCCCUUCUCAUUUGUCUCCCUUUAUGGAUUCAUUCGAAGCUUUGAAUGAUUUUUUUCGCUCGUAUUUUUUUUUGUUUGGAUGCUUUUUUAUGCUUAUGAUCAUUUGUAAAGCUCAAAUUUUUAUAUGAUCGAUGUACUUGUGGCUGAUUUACUUAAGUAGGUUACAACAUUCGGAGGCAGUUCACCUUUGUGGAUUGCGACGUUCUUUGUUCCCUUUGGAUGAUAGUUUUUGGAUUUUUCAUGGAUGUUUAUUUCUUAGAAGAUUAUGUGGGAUUCGUUCUCGUGUUUUCCUCUGUUAUUUGAUAUCUUGAUUUUGUUUGGUACUUUUUUUUCUUCUCUUUUUAAUUCUUGGAUGACAUUUGGUUGGAGUUUUCUGUAUUCCACUGCUUUGAGGAAAUUUAUGCAACCUCGUUGUAGCUAAAUGUUUCAAGGUCAUAUGUUCCCUGUCUAUACAAUUUUAACCCAUUCUGAUUAAAGGUAACUUAUUCUGCUUCUAUGAUGGAAGUUUAGUUGCUUUCUGAUGACAUUACCACUCUUGUGUCACUGGAUGAAUACUUUCUUGCAAAGUAUUCUUGAAUUUGUUAUUCCUUAAGAAGAUUUGUGUGUUACGGUGGGCCUAAUAUGCUGCUGUAUGUUAUGUUAAUUUAGGGUUUUUGGUUUUGUAGUUUUAAUUGAGCUUUGUGCAUUUGUUGAUUCUUUGGGUUAUGCUCUUAGUUUUAACGCUUACUUUUUCAUGGGUUAAUUGGUUUAAGUUUAUCUUGUCCAGGUUAUGCUAUUGAUUCUCUGUUCCACCCUAAAGAAAACAGCCUUAUUCAUGAAAUUCCUGCAACUGUUGCGGCUGUUAAAAACCCUUCUUCUAAGCUGGCAAAUAGUGUUGAUAUUGCAUCUCUUUGUGAUCCCAAUCAGGAUGCUGAGAGAGUAAAUAACCCUGAGUGGUUUAUUGUGAUUGGGGUGUGCACACAUCUGGGUUGCAUUCCCUUGCCAAAUGUUGGUUACUUUGGCGGAUGGUUUUGUCCAUGCCAUGGUUCCCAUUACAAUAUUUCUGGCAGAAUUAGGAAGAGACCGACACUCUACAAUCUAGAGGUGAUUUCUCCUAAAAGUUUAAGCAAUGUUGUUCUUGAUGCACCAGAGGCAUGCAAGCUACUGAGUGUUGUUGUAAUUGCUUUGUCAAAUUGUUCAAGAUGUUGCAAUUUGGCUGCAAGGAAGGGAUGAAACACUUGUUCUGUAAAAGGAUGGGAAGGAUUUAACAAGUCUUCAACUACUUUCCAAAAUGCCACAGGUUUUUCAGAGCCUGAAUCAGUUGGGUCUUUUUGAAGAGAAUCAUAUAUCACUGUACUUUCCCUAUAACAAUGGAAAUGAUGUAAUGGAAUUAGCUUUGUCUUUGGAGAAGUUGGUGACUGAGAAACUUCGAAAUGUGCAUAGUGUAAUGCCUUUUCAGCUGUUUUCUUAUUUAGAAGUAGAUUUUAAAUGUUUUUCCUAUGUACUGAAGUGUAAGAAGUUGUAGUGUUGUAAUUUUGUGACAACAAGUAUCUUAUGUAAAACACUACAAGUUGUAGUGUUGUGGCAGCAAGUAUCUUAUGUAAAACACUACAAAUAUAUUAUGCAAUAUCAUUUGAUAUCUCGUUUUCAACUGUCCUUCUCCAGUAAAAAUAUCAGUGGUUAAUUUGAUUUGAUGUCAUCAAAAAUUUCAUAAUCUAAACUAGUGGAAGGAAACUAGGGCCUUUAUGCUUCGGUAAUUACAGAAGGCUUUUGCCCUUCGGUAAUUACUGAAGGUCUUUGGCCUUCGGUAAUUACCGAAAGGCAAAGGCCAUCAGUAAUGGUUAGCGACAAAUGAUUUAUCGACGGGCAAUUGACCGUCGUGAAUCCGUCGGUAAUGCCUAUUACUGGCGGCUUUUUUGCUGUUUCAGACGGACGUAGGCCGUCGGUAAUGCCCUUUGUUUUGGUAGUGUUAAUAUGUAGCAAAUAUGAGAAAAUAGAUCCACCUUGUAUGAACGAUUUUUGCAAUAUCACUGAUUAUACAUAUCCACCUUGUGCGAUGCUAUUUUAUUUUUGGGAGUACCGCAUUGCUUUCUUGUUAGUGAUUUGUCUUUUUUUCAAAUCUUUGGUUUUCAUGGCUAAUGACUAUAUAUAUAAUAUAUAUGUAUAUAUAGGUUGUUAAGAUGGAAGCUCACAUGCUAAAGUCAUUCAACUUUGAAAUGGGAAAUCAUGUUGUGAACACCUUUCUUAGGAUGUAGGGGUCGAG